rnacentral:rRNA from 1 species
CCUACGGGAGGCAGCAGUGGGGAAUAUUGGACAAUGGGGGGAACCCUGAUCCAGCCAUGCCGCGUGUGUGAAGAAGGCCCUCGGGUUGUAAAGCACUUUCAGUGAGGAAGAACGCCUGGUGGUUAAUACCCAUCAGGAAAGACAUCACUCACAGAAGAAGCACCGGCUAACUCCGUGCCAGCAGCCGCGGUAAUACGGAGGGUGCGAGCGUUAAUCGGAAUUACUGGGCGUAAAGCGCGCGUAGGUGGCUUGAUAAGCCGGUUGUGAAAGCCCCGGGCUCAACCUGGGUACGGCAUCCGGAACUGUCAAGCUAGAGUGCAGGAGAGGAAGGUAGAAUUCCCGGUGUAGCGGUGAAAUGCGUAGAGAUCGGGAGGAAUACCAGUGGCGAAGGCGGCCUUCUGGACUGACACUGACACUGAGGUGCGAAAGCGUGGGUAGCAAACAGGAUUAGAUACCCGAGUAGUC